UACGUAGGGUGCGAGCGUUAAUCGGAAUUACUGGGCGUAAAGCGUGCGUAGGCGGUUCUCCAAGUCCGUUGUGAAAGCCCCGGGCUCAACCUGGGAAUGGCAGUGGAAACUAGGGGACUGGAAUCUGGCAGAGGGGGGUGGAAUGCCGCGUGUAGCGGUGAAAUGCGUAGAUACCAGGAGGAACACCGGUGGCGAAGGCGGUUUCCUGGCCGAGUACUGACGCUGAGGCACGAAAGCGUGGGGAGCGAACGGG
rnacentral:rRNA from 1 species